GUCUCAUUCCUAUUUUUGUUUAUGAUGAUAUGGAGCCAUUUGAAGGAAUUUCAUUGGUAGAACUAGGGAUGGACAAAAGAAUACCAACCGAACCUAUCCACCCGACCCCAUACUAACCGACGCAGUUCGGUCGGGUCAAAUUCGGGUUUCGAAUUCGUCGGAUGAUUCACACGGUUUAGGCUGGAUAACAACGGUUUGGUUCGGGUGGACCAAUUCAAUCCAACAUAAGCCGAACCCGACCGCCGUAUACAUGUUAUUUCUUACAUUUGUUCAUACUAUGCUGGGCUGGGUUGGAUAAUUUUCAAAGCCCAAUAAUUAUACCCUAUUUAAGCUUAAUACAUAUCAUCUUUGUAAAAACCCUAGCCGUAUCUCAUUCAUUCUUCACUUGUUUACCUCAGACUCACCAUGCCAUCUUCCUUGCUUCUGUGGUAUUCAUGUCCAUUCAUCUCUAAUAUCACCACCACCACCUUUCAUCCCUCUUCGACCCUAGAUUAUUCUUCAAUCGGUUCAACAUUUUGUUAUCUUCUCAUAUUAAGAUAUCCUGUUCAAGAAUCUCCUAAUAUUUUAGGUUUAAAAGAUGAGAUGAUUUUCUUUCGUCGAGUUAGAUGUGUUAGAAGAAGAUGGUUAUUAUCCAUGUUCCUACCGAUAAUUUUUUUUAUAUAUAUUUAUUUUCUCCUAUAAUGAUUUUCUAUUUAGCAAUCAAUGACUUUUUUUUCUGAUGAUCCAUUAUCUUUUUUCUGAUGAUCCAUUAUCUCCUCAGAUGUUUCUUUUUAUUUUUUCUUUUCAACUCAUUCAUAAACUAUUCGAUGGAACAAUCAUUUAAAAACAUACAGGUAAUGUUCUUCUUCAAAGUAAUACUCGGUCUAAUAAAACUAACCAUUGCUUUAGCUUAGCACUCAUCUUUAAGUAUGUUUGUGACUGAGAUAUGAGUUUUUUUUUUUACAAAUUUAGUGUUUCUUUACAGGUUCUUCUCUCUAGCAAUGCUAUGUUAUCAUGUACUUUCUGGGAAUUUGCAAGUAUAUUCUAUGAGAAUGAGAAUGUACACUUUAAGUAUAAUCUGAAGAAUGAUGUUCUCAAUAAGUAAGGAAAUCAUGUUCUCAAGCUAAGGAAAUCAUCAUAAACAUAACAUUUUGCCUGAUUAUGUUGUUCAGAUAUUGCUUGCAUGAAUCAGUGAGAGAAAGUAUGGACAAAACAAAUUUUAUUUCACAAUGAGUGAUUUUAUAUUUGAAUGUUGCUAUAAGUUGUAAUCAAAUUAUAAAAUUUGUCUAUUUUAUUUAUCUAUAAUCGCUCAAAAUAACCAUUUGUAUCAAUAAU